CGUGUGUGCGAGUGUGUGUGCUGGGAACGGGGUCACUUGAGUUUGUUGCUCUCGGGAUUUCAAUCAUCUCCGUGUCUCCGCCCCUGAGCGGUGGUGCUGUGGCGGGGUUUCUGUCCGCCGGUUUCGGACGCGUCUGUUCAGAAUGCUGAGCUGCGUCUCGCUUCCGUUCCUGCUUUUUGGAGAAAAGAAGUAAAAGUUGUGCAGGAGACAGGAGCUCCACCCCUGCACGGCUCUCGUGCUGCGCCUGCGGAAGCCUCGGCGCUGUGGGAACGUUGUAGUCUUUGAAGAAGAACAGAGGGCUUUUUUAAUAUUAAUGCCCCUCGCACGUCUCCCCCCAGGGCAGAAAGGGUUAAACCUGCCUGCGGCACACAUCUGCGAAGCGUUUGAAACAUUCCACAAGGCUUACCACAUCUUCUCAGAUGGACACCGUCCUGCAGGCUUAUAAAGCCGAUUUUACAGCCAUGACAGGCGCCCGGGGAGCAGUGGACCGGGAUUCGAACCUGCAACCUUCUGAUUAUGGGGCCGCCACCACUGCCCCUUGGAAUGGAAUGGUCCUCCGGAUUGCUGCUCUUCUUCAUGUACCUCCCUCCUUUGAGAAGAUGUAAAUGAGAGUAUGUGGGCUCAGUGGUGAACCACCUCUUCUUCUCCUGGUUCCCAUGGGCCGGUGGUGGACUGAAGUAAAGCUCACCUGUUGUGUGCUUGUUCUUCCCGGUGCGGAUGCAGGAAGGUGGAAUGUGAUCCCUGAUACGGACGUAAACUAACACCAAAAAUGUUUUCCUUGGGAGGGUCCUUGCUGGCUGAUAUGAGCGUGUGUGUAAUGUGAGGGUGGCUGAUCAUACAGGUUAAAGUUUCACCAGAAAUAGCUCCUGGAUGAAUCCCAGCUGAGUAACCAGGACCCUGGGGGGCACACACUGGAGCACCUGCUGGUCCCCUACCAGGUGCUGCAUAAAAGCUCAGUUUGCUUAUUUUAUUAAACAUAAAUUCAUAAAUACACGAAUAUGGGGUCUCAGCACAAUGCCCCUCACUGGAUAAGGAAUCUGUAGGAAGGGGCAUGAAGCUUCCCGAUUUGUGGCCAAUUUGUGGCCAAAAUGCAAUGUUUAAUAUCUUCAUAUUAACAUGUAACACACACCAUAAUACAUUAAAUUUGACACUGUUCACGUGUAAUUAUAUUAAACCGAGCACAAUAAAGUUUUUAAUUUCUGAUCGGGAGAUGAUGGG
rnacentral:lncRNA from 1 species